UACGGAGGGGGCUAGCGUUGUUCGGAAUUACUGGGCGUAAAGCGCGUGUAGGCGGGUCCUUAAGUCGGGGGUGAAAGCCCGGGGCUCAACCUCGGGACUACCUUCGAUACUGAGGACCUGGAGUCUGGGAGAGGUGAGCGGAAUUCCGAGUGUAGAGGUGAAAUUCGUAGAUAUUCGGAGGAACACCAGAGGCGAAGGCGGCUCACUGGACGAGUACUGACGCUGAGACGCGAAAGCGUGGGGAGCACACAGG
rnacentral:rRNA from 1 species